rnacentral:rRNA from 1 species
ACGGAGGAUGCAAGUGUUAUCCGGAGUCACUGGGCGUAAAGCGUCUGUAGGUGGUUCGAAAAGUCCACUGUUAAAAAUUGAGGCUUAACUUCAAAGAUGCCGUGGAAACUUUCAAACUAGAGUAUGGUAGGGGUAGAGGGAAUUUCCAGUGGAGCGGGGAAAUGCGUAGAUAUUGGAAAGACCACCGAUGGCGAAGGCACUCUACUGGGCCAUUACUGACACUGAGAGACGAAAGCUAGGGGAGCAAAUGGGAUUAGAUACCCCAGUAGUCCUAGCCGUAAACGAUGGAUACUAGAUGUUGUGUGUAUUGACCCAUGCAGUAUCGUAGCUAACGCGUUAAGUACCCCGCCUGGGAAGUAUGCUCGCAAGAGUG